rnacentral:lncRNA from 1 species
AUGGAGAAUUUUGGGGAGAAAAUUGAGAAUAUUGGGCUGCAUUUUGGGGUGAAAAUGGAGAAUUUUGGGGUUCAUUUUGGGGCGGAUUUUGGGGUGCGAAAUGGGGAUUUUGGGGCUGAUUUUGGGGUGAAUUUGGCGGGUUCUGGGGCAGAUUUUGGGGUGAAUUUGGGGGAUUUUGGGCCUGCCGGAGCAGCUCCCGCUGGAUGUGGGGCAGGAAUUUCCGCGUGGCGGCUCCCAGGGGUCCCGGCCCGUGCUGGAACACGGUGGGGACCCCCCCGGGCCCCCCCCAGCACCCCAAAAUCGCCACGUCGGGACCCCCCGGGCCCCCCCCCAGAGCCUCGGCCGCGGCCACGAGAGCGGCCCAGGGGGGGGGGGGGGCGCGGGGGGGGGGAGGGGAGGACAUGGGGGGGGUGGGGAAAUUUGGGGGGGAUUUGGGGGUGUUUGGGGGAUCCUGGGGGGGGAAUUAGGGGGGAAUUUGGGGGGGUCCUGAACGGGAUUUGGGGGGUUGGGGGGGGUUUGGGGGGGAUUUGGGGGAAUUUGGGGGGGAUUUAGGGGGGCUUGGGGGGAUUUGGGGGGGUUGGGGGGGAUUUGGGGGGUCCUGGGGGAUUUGGGGGGUCUGAAGGGGGUUUUGGGGGUUUGGGGGGGUUUGGGGAAAUUUGGGGAGGGUUUGGGGGGGUCUGGGGGGGAUUUGGAGGAGAUUUAGGAGGGAUUUGGGGGAUCCUGGGAGGUUUGGGGGAGAUUUAGGGGGGGUUUGGGGGGAUUUGGGGUGUUUGGUGAGGAUUUGAGGGGGAUUUGGGGGCGUUGGGGGGUUUGGGGGGGGUCUGGGGGGGGAUUUGGGGGUAUGAAGGGGGUUUGGGGAGGGAUUUGGGGGGGUUUGGAGGGUCCUGGGGAGGGUUUGGGGGGGAUUUGGGGAAGUCUGGGGGGGAUUUGGGGGGGUUGGGGAAAUUUCGGGGGGUUGGGGGAUCCUGGGAGGAUUUUGGGGGGUUUGGGGGGUUUAUGGGGGGAUUUGGGGUGGUCUGAGGGGGUUUGGGGGGUCCUGGGAGGGGUUUGGGGGGGUUUUGGGGGGAUUUGGGGGGUCCUGAAGGGGUUUGGGGGAGUUUGGGGGGGUUUGGCGGGGAUUUGGGGGGUUUAGGGGGUCUGGGGGGGAUUUAGGGGAAUUUGGGGGAGAUUUGGGGGGGAUUUGGGGGGUCCUGGAGGAGUUUGGGGGGGGAUUUGGGGGGGCUGGGAGGGAUUUGGGGUCUUGAAGGGAUUUGGGGGUGUUACGGGGGAUUUGGGGAAAUUUGGGGAGGGUUUGGGGGGAUUUGGGGAAAUUUGGGGGGGUUGGGGGGGAUUUAGGGGUGUUUGGGGAGGGUUUGGGGGGAUUUGGGGGGUCUGAAGGGGAUUUGGGGGGGAUUUAAGGGGGGGGUUUGGGGGAUUUGGAGGGUCUGGGGAGAUUUAGGGGGGUUUAGGGGGUCUGGGGGGAUUUGGGGAAAUUUGGGGAGGGUUUGGGGGGGCACUGGGGGGGAUUUGGGGGGGUUUGGGGAGGCCUGUGGGAGUUUGGGGGGGUUUGGGGGUUUGGGGGGGGUUUGGGGAAAUUUGGGAGGGUUUGGGGGGUCUGGGGGGAAUUUGGAGGAGAUUUAGGAGGGAUUUGGGGGGUCCUGAGGAGGUUUGGGGGAAUUUGGGGCGGUUGGGGGGGAAUUGGGGGGGGAUUGGGGGGGUUUGGGGGAAUUUGAGGGAGAUUUAGGGGGGUUUGGGGGGGAUUCGGGGGGGAUUUGGGUGGGUUAGAGGGGAUUUGGGGGGUCCUGGGGGGGGGUUGGGGGGGAUUUUUUGGGGGUCCUGGGGGGGAUUUGGGGGGGUGGGGGGGGAUUUAGGGGGUAUAUAGGGGGGUCUGGGGGGAAUUUGGGGGGUUUGGGAGGUCCUGGGAGGAUUUUGGGGGUCCUGGGGGUGUUUGGGGGAUUUAGGGGGGAAAUUGGGGGGGUUUCGGGGGGGUCUGGGGGGAAUUUGGGUGAAAUUUGGGGGGUUUUAGGAAAUUUGGGGGUCCCUGGAGGGGUUUGGGGGGAAAUCUGGGGAAUUUGGGUGAAACUUGGGGGUCCCGGGGGGGAAUUUUGGGGAUCCCGGGGGGUUUGGGAAGGAAUUUUGGGGGGGUUUGGGGGGGUCCCGGGGGGUCACGCGGGGAUUUUGGGGGAAAAAGGGAAAUUUGGGGGUCCCGGGGAAGAUUUUGGGGGUCCCGGGGGGAGUUGGGAGGGAAAAAAGGGAAAUUCGGGGUAAAAAAGAGGGAAAUUUGGGGGUAGAAAAGGGAAUUUUGGGGGUAGAAAAGGAAAUUUGGAGUAAAAAAGGGAGAUUUGGGGAUAAAAAGGGAAUUUUGGGGUAAGAAAGGGAAAUUUUGGGGUAAAAAAUGGGAAUUUCGGGGGUAGAAAAGGGAAUUUUGGGGUCCCGGCGCGGAUUUUAGGGGUCCCGGGGGGGUUUUGGAGGGAAAAAAGGGAAAUUUAGGGAUAAAAAAGGGAAAAUUGAGGUAAAAAGGGGGAAUUGGGGUAAAAAAAAGGGAAUUUUGGGGUAAAAAAAGGGAAUUUUGGGGUCCCGGUCGCGGGUCCCGCUCGGCGGCCCCGGGGCCGCCCCCGAGAUGGCGGCGGAGGAAGAGGCGGGGCCAGGGAGCGGAAUGGGCGGGGCCAAAGGGGAAUCAACCAAUGGCAGCGCGGCUUUGGGCGGGGGCGUGGUUAAGAGUGGGCGUGGUUUAUGCAAAAAUGAGCUGUUUUCACGGCUCCCAUUGGUGAUCGGGCGGGGUGGGCGUGGUUUAUGACGAAGGAAUGGGCGUGGCUUUUACGCGGAGGGGCGUGGCCCCGCGGAUUUCAUUGGUCAUUGAGGCGGGGUGGAGCCGGAAGUGGGCGUGGCCACGCGGCGGAAGCGGAAGCGCGGGGAGCGGCCAUGGAGGAGGCGGCGGGAGGGAGGGUGAGGCCGCCCCUCCCCCACCCCUAAAAAUAACCCCAAAAAACCCCAAAAAUCUCCCAAAAAUUCCCCAAAAUCCCCCAAACUUCCCCCAAAUCCCGCCAAAAUUCCUCAAAAUUCCCCUCAAAUCCCUCCAAGAAUCCCCGAAAAUUCCUCAAAAUGUCUCCAAAUCUCUCCAAAAUUCCCCCAAGUCUCCCCAAAAAUGCCCCAAAAUCCCCCCCAAAUUCCCCCCAAAGUUCCCCAAAAACGUCGCCAAAAUUCCCCCAAAAUUCCCAAAAAUCCCCAAAUCUCCUCAAAAUUCCCCUAAUUAGCCCAAAAUUCCCCAAUAUCCCUGAGAAAUACAAAAAAAAACCCCCUCAAAUCCCCUCCUGACCCCAAAAAUUCCCCCAAAUCACCCCAAAAUUCUUGAAAAUCUUCCCUAAAUUCCCUCCAAAAUUCCCCAAAUCCCCCAAUAAAUUCCCUAAAAUCCCCCCAAAAUCCCCCAAAAUCCCCCAAAAUCCCCCCAAACCUCCCCCAAAACCCCCAAAAGUCCCCAAAAUCCCCCCAAAAUUCCCUAAAAUCUCUGAAAAUCCUCUAAAAAUUCCCCAAAAUCCCCCCAAAAUUCCCCAAAAUCCCCCAAAAUUUCCCCAAAAUUCCCUAAAUCCCCUCAAAAUCUCCCAAAAUCCCCCCAAACCUCCCCAAAAUUCCCCAAAAUUCCCAAAAUCUCCCCAAAAUCUCCCCAAAUCUCCCCCAAAAGUUUUAAAGCUCUCAUGGAUCCCAAAAAUCCCCCCCGGGAUCCCCAAAACCCCUCGGGGGGCACCG